UGCAUCCUUGGCACUGCUGCCAAUUCCAAUGUGAAUGAGGCCACCCAACACAUCCACACAAGCUCCCAACUUGAGAGUGUCGAUGGGACACGUGUUCUUUGGUGGUGAUGGGGUUGGCACUGGUGUUGGUGGUGGUGGAGGAGGACAUGGUGUCUCAGUGGGUGGAGGAGGCUUAACUGGUACAACUGGGGUAGGUGUAGGUGUUGGUGGGCUUGGUGGUACAACAGGUGGUGAUGGUGGUGGCUUAACUGGUACAACUGGGGUAGGUGUUGGUGUUGGUGGGCUUGGUGGUACAACAGGUGGUGAUGGUGGUGGCUUAACUGGUACAACUGGGGGCUUGGGUACAUAGGGUGGUGGGGGUUGUACAACUGGGGGCUUGGGUACAUAUGGUGGUGGUGGUUGUACAACUGGGGGUUUGGGGAUGAAGGGUGGGUGCACAAUUGGGGGUUUAGGGAUAAAAGGUGGGUGCACGAUUGGGGGCUUGGGGAUGAAGGGUGGGUGCACAAUUGGGGGCUUGGGGAUGAAGGGUGGGUGCACAAUUGGGGGUUUAGGGAUGAAGGGUGGGUGCACAAUUGGGGGUUUAGGGAUGAAGGGUGGGUGCACAAUUGGGGGUUUAGGGAUGAAGGGUGGGUGCACAAUUGGGGGCUUGGGGAUGAAGGGUGGGUGCACAAUUGGGGGCUUGGGGUGGGGUGGUGGUUUGACAAUAGGAGGCUUGGGGAUGAAGGGAGGUCUCACAAUAGGUGGUUUGGGGACAGAAGGAGGUUUUGGUAUAUGGGGAGGAUAUACAAUGGGGGGUUUGGGGCCAUGAGGUGGCUUGGGUACAUGGGGUGGAUGAGGAUGAGGUGGCUUUGAUGGUGGCUUGGGAACAUAGGGAGGCUUUACAUGAGGGGGAUGGGGUGGUUUUGAUGGUGGUUUGGGAACAUAGGGAGGCUUUACAUGAGGAGGAAGAGGUGGUUUUGAUGGUGGUUUGGGAACAGAGGGAGGCUUUACAUGAGGGGGAUGAGGUGGGUGUUUAGGUGGUUUAGGGAUGAAGGGUGGCUUUACAUGAGGAGGCUGUUUGGGUGGCAAGUGUGGAGGGUAUGUUGGUGGUGGACAGUAGGAGUUAGCAAGAGAAGUGAGCAAACUACCCAAAUUCACAAUGAGGACUAAGAGCAAAGCCAGG
rnacentral:lncRNA from 1 species